GGCAGUGGCUCAACCAUUGUAUGCAUUGGAAACUGGUAGACUUGAGUGCAGGAGAGGAGAGUGGAAUUCCAUGUGUAGCGGUGAAAUGCGUAGAUAUAUGGAGGAACACCGGUGGCGAAAGCGGCUCUCUGGCCUGUAACUGACACUGAGGCUCGAAAGCGUGGGGAGCAAACAGG
rnacentral:rRNA from 1 species